GAUGAAGAACGUAGCGAAAUGCGAUAAGUAAUGUGAAUUGCAGAAUUCAGUGAAUCAUCGAGUCUUUGAACGCACAUUGCGCCCCCUGGUAUUCCGGGGGGCAUGCCUGUCCGAGCGUCAUUGCUGCCCUCAAGCGCGGCUUGUGUGUUGGGCCCCCGCCCCCCGGCUUCGGGGGGCGGGCCCGAAAGGCAGCGGCGGCACCGCGUCCGGUCCUCGAGCGUAGGGGGCUUCGUCACCCGCUCUGUAGGCCCGGCCGGCGCCCGCCGGCGACCCCAAUCAAUCUUUCCAGGUUGACCUCGGAUCAGGUAGGGAUACCCGCUGAACUUAAGCAUAUCAAUAAGCGGAGGA
rnacentral:misc_RNA from 1 species